AUAAGAGAGCAUAAGAUUAGAUGACUAUCAAUACCAAUGUGCCAAAAUACUCUUAACAAAGUAUUACUAAAGUAGUCAACACAAAAAUCUCCAGGAUUCAAACACAGUAAUCCAUUAGACAACAAUUCUAAAGAACGAUUUUGUGCCAUGUUCAUCCCAUAAACAACAAAAGCAAAAAUAAUUUGACAUUGCAAAAACAAUCACUCGUCUUCUUGACUGCGCAACCUAGCGAGCUUGUUGGUGACAACAACAUCCAAUUGAGCUGCACGUUCAACGAUAUCCUUUCGUUUCCUGGUUGAAACAUUGUGUGCGAUCUCAGCACAGUAUGUCCUGAAGUUAUUUCAUGUAAAUAAACAAAGUCAGAAAUGUGGCUACUAAGGGUCAAUGAGAAAUUAAGAAUCAAAAUGCAAAUCUAAAACCAGUUACCUGUUGUGCAUCAUCAAAAGUUCCAAAUCCUGGACAUUGUGCACAACAAACUUCUUGAAUCCAUUUGGCAGAUGGUGGCGGGUCUUCUUGUCUGACCCAUAUCCAAUGUUUGGCAUCAAAGUAACUCCCUUAAACUUUCUCCUAACACGAGAAUCAAUACCCUUUGGCCUACGCCAGCUUUGCUGCAUAUCAUAACAGUAACGAUGUUAAAAUAUUAUAAACCUAUGGAUACAAUUUGCAAAACAUAUACAAACUGUGCAUUCAGAAGAGCAAAUAGAAUGAGAGUAAAAAUAAUAGGUAACAGGUAGCAAUAGGAACAUCAGAGAAGAGGUUUUUGUAUUACAAAAUGCAAUAGGAAAAAUGGUGCAAGGAUAAAACAGGGAAAUGACACAAUAAAUUUAAGAGCUUAGCUUGAAAUCUGAUAUUAAAUUGUUAUGAAAAAUAAGCUAUGUGAGUAUGAGAGCCUGUUUGGUUCAACAGAAGAGGGGAGGAAUUUUAAAACCAAUUUACCUUAUUAUCCUUACAACAUUGUCUUUAUUAUAUAACACAAUAAAGUAUGCACCAAAACGAAAUUAACGAAUCAAAAUAGUGGAAAAAAUUUGAACUGAUGUGAAACUAAACAAUAAGCAACAAAACAAUGUGAAGAAACUUGAGAGGUUUAGGUGAAUGUUCUCACCAUUAAAAUGCAUUGGACCCGACUAAUUACUUUUAUAAGUUGUAGAACCCAAUGCAUUUUAAUGGUGAUUAUUCACAUAACCCUUGUUUCAGAAUUAGAAUUAUCUCAUAUCUCAGCAUCGAUCCACUCCCCUCCCAAAAAAAAAAAAACUGACAAAAUUUUUGACUAUAUUCUCCACUCCCUUCCAAUUCUAAAAAAUUUGAACUAAAUGAACAUAUGUAAAAUAAGCCAUCCCCUCCAAAAACAGCAAUCAAACAAAACCUAAGAAAUGAAAAGCAUUUCUACAAACCCUGAAAGACAUAUAUUAUAACAUUCAAUCUAGUUAUAGUGUAUUUAGGAAUCUAUAUGAGAAACCACAAAACAUACAAGAAAUCACAUGCAUACCAUUGAGGUCUCUUUAACAACUUUCAAACACACAAUAAAUCACUGGAUAAAACAUAGUUUGCAUUGCAAAUAUAAAAUUGAAAGAAACACAUACCUUGACACAUAUUUUCCUGUCACUUUGAGGCCUGAUGAACCUCUUCACACGCUUCUUGAUAAUCUUCUUAGUUAGCAGAGGAACGGCCAUCUUACCUUACCU
rnacentral:lncRNA from 1 species